GGUGACGGGGUGCCAGCGGGCGGGUGAGAGCGGAGGGGGCAGUGGUGAAUGGGAAUUACGGGGCGUGAAGCGGGCGCAGGCGGUGAUGUAAGACAGGGGUGAAAGCCCCGGGCGUAACCUGGGAACUGCAUUUGGGACUGCAUCGCUGGAGUGCGGCAGAGGGGGAUGGAAUUCCGCGUGGAGCAGUGAAAUGCGUAGAUAUGCGGAGGAACACCGAUGGCGAAGGCAAUCCCCUGGGCCUGCACUGACGCUCAUGCACGAAAGCGUGGGGAGCAAACAGGAUUAGAUACCCCAGUAGUC
rnacentral:rRNA from 1 species